AUUCAUCUGAUGAGUCUCAAAUAGGACGAAACGCGUGUUUCGAAU
rnacentral:hammerhead_ribozyme from 1 species